UUCCCUUGUCGUUUGAAAUUUUGAAUUAAAAACGAAUGAAACGAAAUAAAAACACAAAAGUGAUAAUAACAAUAAGGUCAAUUUUUUUUAAUUUUCUGUUUCUUUCAUUUCGUCGUGUGCGGUGGUAUUGUGUACCAUGUAGCCAAAAAAUACGGCGUAUGGGAAGUCUAUUAAAAUCGAGUUAUAAUGUGAAGAAACGAAGAAAAAAUUGUGUGUGUGUGUGCCCACCGUGUCUCAGACGAUCAAACCGAGAAAGUUUCCCAUUGAUUGGUUUCUCCAUUAAUAAUUCGGGUUCUUUUUUUUCAUUUUAUUUCAUUUUUUCUUCUUGGUUCGUUCUUUUCUUUCCUUUAAUGACUGGAUCGUAAUAAUAAUAAGACUUUGUGCCAUAUAGUUCCAGCUCGGUGUGUGUGUGCUGUGCUGUGUGUGUGUAGUCCAAUAACAAUAAUUGCUGGGUUCCUAUCGCUCGAGCUGCGUAUAGCGUGGGGAGGGGGUUGUUCUGUAUUUUCUGGUCUAGUCCGUCGUUGGUUUCGUUUCUCUGUGUGCCCGCUGUACAGCAGAUCUAUAAGUAGUAGUGUGUGUGUGUGUGUGUAGAGUGUAGAUGCGCUUUAACGAGCCUCGCUUGGGUAUCCGACUGGAAAACAUUUGGCCGGGGCUCCUGGCCGGGUUGGAUUAUAUUUUCUCUCUCUCUCCUUCUCUCUCUUCGCCAUACUCUGUUCUACAUUGGCCAUCUGGCUUAAUUACUUUUUCGGUUCUUCUUCUUCUUCUUCUCUCGGUCAGCCAUUUGAGACGGAGACCAGACACACAACACAUACAUAUAGCUGCUGGACUUGGUGUAUCUAAUACGCUGAUGGCCAUGGUGGUGGUGGUGGUGGUGGGCCUCCUUUUCUUCUUUUCCACCUUGUCUUCGAGGCAUAUCUUAUUUUUUGUUUUUUUCCUUUUCUCUUCGGAGAAAACAGGAGAGCCCCCCCAUUUUUUUUUUUUUUUUACACGAUCGUACAUUCAAAAUUGCUCGACUAUGAAUAGCGAUGAUGGGGUUCUUUUCAGCUGCGGUGCCCACGGAAAAAUAUUUCCGUCAAAUGUAGAACGACAUACAAAGAGGGUUGAAAUUCAAUUUGAUUUGGCUGGUUUUCCUGCAGCUCGUCGUGUCUUGCCCAUUGUGACGUCUAAACACACAGCUAGACAGCAGAGUGAGUGAGUGAGAGAGAGAGAGCCGGGCACAGUCGUAGUGUAAUAUCGCCGUCCUAUCUCGUCAACUUCCCCCUUGAGCUUGGUCUACCCAAUUCUCCUCGCUCGACUGCACGAACCCCGUUCGUCUCCUAUUUUCCUUUUGUGUCGUGUCGUCCCUUUUUCGGAUUAGAUUAGGAGCCGGGCGCUGAAUACGUCGGCGGUGUGUGAGGGAGAUGGACUUAUUGAAAAACAAGUGAUAACCAAAGUGAACGACGGACCAGGGAACGAACGGGAUAAUCCGGUGGAAAUUCGGACCCAUCGACCCCCCUUCAAUCGUUCGCCUUCAACUCUGAAAUGAAUUCAAAUCAAAUCGUCAAUAAUAAAAAGAAGAACUGGGCGCUCUAUAGUUUCGCUCAAAAGGAAAGAGGAAAAAAGAAAAACAUGUUUCCUCUUUUAUGUCUGUGUCAUUUUCUUCUCUUAAUCAUUCAAACAUUUCGUUGCCGCCGCCAUCAUCAUCAUCAUCAUCAUCAUCGUCGGUCUCGACGCCUCCGCUUCCAGCAGCAGCAGCAGCCCCCGGUCGGUCCCCCCUUCUUCCAUUCUCUCCUCCACUCCAUCAGACGGAGCCCCUGAACUCUUCCUUGCCCCCUUGGGGGCGAACGCACGCAGCACGCCCGUCCACCCAGCAGCAGCAGUUUCCCAAGGAGAAGAAGAAGAAAAUUCAUCAGAGCUCAGCGAGGGAUAGAAGCAGCAGCCAGCGGAGAAUGGCGAGAGAUGAGUUGUGCGUUAAGCCCGGCCGGCCGGCCAACCUUUUUUUUAUUUUAUUUUUUUUCUUUGGAGUCUCUGCAGGGCUUGUGAAUAAGGAAAGAUUAGAGAGGAAGGAAGGAGAGGAGAUAGUUUUGAAAUCAUUGGUUGCUCUGUGUGCAUGGAUGCCCGGAUGAGCGCGCCCGGCCGGCUGGGAGAGUUGGGGGGGAGGACGAGAGGUCGUUCAUCAUUCGAUAUAGAAAAAGAAAGAAAAAAUCAGUGACGCUUGAUGGUGGUGGUUGGGUUGCCGGCGCAAGCGAACCCCUUUGGCUUGCCAAAUAAUUAUGACACAGCGGAUGAAGGCCAUAAAUCCGUUCAAAAUUGGAGUCGAGAUUUCCUAUUUUUUUUUUCUUUUUUGUUGUUGUCAAAGAGGAUGGGGGGGACAAACGAAAAGAAAUUAAAUAAAUCAAAAUGAGGAAUUGAUCAUCAAGGCAGAGUGAAACGGAGUGAAAUCAUUCAAAGCGACGGUCUAAUUAAAACAAAAAAAAUCCAGCGGAAAUUCGAGGAAUUUCACGGCGCGUUGGCGAAAAAGAAUGAAAAACGUUUCCACGCAACUCUCGUUGCGACAGCACCUCGGCCGACACCAUCACACGAAGAGAUAAGGCGGAGGAGGAAGAAGCAAAAACUAAAAGAAAAAAAAAAGAAAAUGUAUUUACAUAAAUCCAUCCAGGGGUUUGUUUUUUUUUCGUGUUAUUUCUUUGGGUGCUCAGGGGUUUUUUCUCUCUCAUUCUGGUCUAUACGCAAAAGAACUUGGAACAGAGAAGGAGAGAGAAGAUUGGAAGCGCACACACACGCCCUCGUCUGCCGGCUCGUAAAUCAACCCAUCAUUAAUAUUAAUCACCUGCCUUUUGGUUAUAAGGUUAGACUUGUUUUUUUUCUUUCUCCGCAGCUAUAGUAUAAUAGACGAGAGAGAAAAGAGACGGGGGUGGUGUUGUUGUUCUCCUUGCCUUCUUUCAUUUUUCUUCUUCUUCUACUUUUUCGGUGUUUUUUGGAUAUGUCUUCCGCUGUUGCGGCUGUGCCUGGCGAUGGCAGUAUACAUCUAAUGGAGAGAAAAGAGCCGAGUAAAGUUCCCGGCUGCCAGUGUUUUCACCGUGUGUACCGGGUAGUACGUUGAAAGAAAAGAAGAUUCAUUUCUGGCUCUGCUCUUGGAAAUGCAUCACGUGUACUAUACACAACCCUGCUGGCUGGUAGAGUAUAGGCCAUACGAUAUCGUGUCGCAGACGAGUCUCUCUCCGCGUGUGCACUUCCCCGGGUGAUGGCACUACGGGAAAUCCGCCUAUAGCGCAGCAUAGCUCCUUUUUUUUCUUUUCUUUUUUCUCUCCUGGGCGCGGACUCUCCUCCGCUGGAGAGGAAAACAUAAUUAGUGUAGCCAAGCGCGAGCUAGCGCUUGCAUCAUCGCAGAGAGAGAAGAAGAAGAAGAAGAAAAUGAACGGACUCUUCUUCUUCUUCUACUCUCGGCCAAACGAAAGAAAAAACGCGCACGGACGAGCAGUUUUUCUUCUUCUUUGUUAAUUUCCUUUUGAUUUCUUCCUUCGCCCUCAACAACCCCCUCCCCUCCACAGAGAAAGAAAAAAAGGGAAGUAGCAGCAAGUUUUGUUAUCCUCUUAUAUGCGCGCCAGACACCAGCAGCCCCACCCUGUGAACUGCUGAUGCUACCCAACUUGUUUUUUUUAUUAUUAUUUUCUGAUUUUUUCUUUUUUCUUUUUUUUGACUCUUGAUGGCCUCUACGUGCUUAUAUUUCCAUCCCGAUUCUAGACUUUUUCCUGUCGUCAGUCAGGCCCCCCCCCCCUUUUUGUCCAUACUACCCGAAAAGUUUCCUUCUUUCCGGUUAACUCUCGACAAAUAAAUCGUCAAGGACAACAAUGCGCCGACGCCGCCGCCGCCUCUAUUGUGUAUAUGUAUAUUCCAUUACUUAAUGUUAUAUGUCUCUCCACGUUACGCAAUAAAUAAAAGAAAAAUUUAAUGAAACGAAACUUUUGAAGGGAAAUUUCUUUAUGUUUUGUGUGUGUGGGUUUUGCAAUAAAAGAAGAAAAUCGCGGAAAAAGGCGGAGAUAUUUUCGGUCGGUCGGGCCGGGCGGUUAUUUGGCCGUGCCAGGACUUUGUCGCCUUUUGGGAGCGGCAUCAAUAGGAGAGUAAAAAAGGGAAGAAAAGAACGAUUUGGAACUAUAAAUCAUCGAAUAAUAUUCGGCGCGCACACACACACGCAAGGAUGGAAGAAACUCCUCCCAUCGCCCUCCCUUUUGCUCAUCUAAAACAUGCCAGGCAUUCAGCCCCCCAAUGAGCUAAUUAAGAGUUGGGAAUGGGAACGCGAGCGCCAGCAAAAAAAGAAAAAGAAAAAGAAAAAAAAAACUUGAUGAACGAGUUGAGAGGAUGAAGGGGGGCGGAGGAUAUUUUCAUUUUUUAUUUUUGGGACCCGCGCGCCGCCGCCCGCCGCUGCCGCUGCAAUCGAAAGUUGAGACGGGUCUCCUCGUACCCGAAAGCCCCGGCCCGGCCCGUCUCUCCCAGAACGACAAAGUUAUCCUUCCAUUCGCUAUUUUAUUUUCUCGGCUGAUUUCUGUACCUUGUUAACUUGUUCUCGUCGGUUUGAAAAAAAAAAGAAGAAAAAAGUGGAACAAGUUGGACCCCGAAAACUCUUAACGGCAGCAGCGGCGGCGGUGGCGGCGCAACGACUUGCAUUCAUCAAAGUUUUCGGGGGGAAAAGGAAAUGGAAAAGAGAUCUCGAACUGAACUCACUCCGGUGGCGAUGAACUGCCUAAUCAGAGAGGCACAGCACCAGGUUGGACUACUACUACUACUGCGGUACUACCGUUAUUAACUGCAAUUAAAGAGGGGGCAAAUCAAAAGUCCUGUUGAAAUGUAGAACGAAAUGGAAAACGGCCCAACUUUUUUUUUUUUCAAGAGUUGGUUGGUUGGGGGGGAUGAAACUUUUUCUCGGUCAAUGGGAUUGUAUGCGCAUAAUGGCCGUGUCUAAUCCGACGGAGAGCGCGGGUUGACGCAGCCGUACGGAUGCUGGGCGUAGAAGAAGAGGGGGGCAGCUGUUGACGGACGGAAUGAUGAUUCGCUUUCGAAACUUGGUCGCUCGCUAACUAUCUGUUGGCCAGGCGCCUCGCUCAACUCUCCACCAACCCUCGCUCGCUCGCUCGCUUGCAUCAUAUCCCGCGCAGCUGUUUGUUGCUUGCCAAUUUACUCGACUCAAUAUUUGAAAUGUGAAAAUACCUUUCUGGUUCUUGGUUGCUGCUGCUGGCGGGCCAGCAAAACUUAUUCGCGUUCCACCAGCGGCAUUUCAUUUUCUCUCGAAAAAUUCUUGCAUCUUUUCUUCGUCUUCGUCUUCUUCUGCUUUUGGGACUAAUUCAAUGCCGAACGGACGUGGUGGCGCAAGAAUAUGUGAGCUGUGGGGCUGGCGCUGUUGGAUGAUGAGCGGUUGAGGUGUUGUUCAAAGGCUGGCAGGGGGCAUCCGAAAGUCAUUAAGUCCCGCAGUGAGGCAACAUCAUUCAUCAGGAAAACCAAAAGUAGCAACAGCAGCAAAACUUCCCGGCGGCCAGCAGCAGCAGCGCGAAUGGCCAAAAGCUAUAGAAAAAAAGAAAGAAACUAACUUGAAAAACUCCGACGACGACCAGACACAUAUACGCAUUCAGCUUAGACUGGAGAAAAAGGAAAAUACCCAACAGCAGGAGCAGCCACAGCCACGGUUAUAAUAAUCUCGCGCAAGUCUUAACAACAAAAGGCACACACACGGUUUUGCAAUUGCUCUUGUCGUGUGGAGCUGCUGCCCUCCUGUCUGGGAUUCCACGCCAUUUCGCCCACGGAAAUCUCCGCGUGCUUAUUCCACCAGCGUCACAAAAAUCCCUUUUUUUUU